CCAGGGAGAAAGGGGUUUUCAGACCUGGAGAGUGGGCCCGCGCCAGGGCCGUUGGUCCCUCGGGCUCACUGGUGCGCGAGCAGCCCCCAAGCCUUUGACAACCACGUGCCAUGCUGGAAAAUCAACAAAUUCACUAGAGGAUGUUAACUCCUUUUCCCCAUCUCUGUUCAGGAGCGUUCUCUGGGAAACACCUCCGUUUCCAGCAGCCAACUGCUGUGUUGUGCACAGGCCCGUGCAGAAGUACACACGACAAGAAACCAAGGCCUCAGGCCAACAGCCCGUGAGGACGGGGCGCUCAGUUGAACAGGCUGUGAAAAACCGAAUCCUACCACCAGCCACUGCAGUGAGUGUGGAAGCCUGGAACUUCCCCCGAGGGCUGGUAGACGUGUCUUUGCUGUUACGACUCGGGAACAUAACCGGCCAUCAACAACACGGCUUGAAUGGAAGAGAUGUGACCCCGUUGAUGAUAUGCUCUCCUGGAACCCUCCCUAAAGGCGCAGCUGCCCAGAAGAACAAUAAAUUUGUAUAUCAUGUUCAUUUAUUUUACAGAAUUAGAAGAAU